rnacentral:rRNA from 1 species
AGAGUUUCGAUCAUGGCUCAGGAUGAACGCUGGCGGCGUGCCUAACACAUGCAAGUCGAACGGUGCUGCAGCAGAGGAAGCUUCGGCAGAAUCAGCGGCAGCAUAGUGGCGAACGGGUGAGUAACGCGUGGGAAACCUGCCCUAUACUGGGGGAUAGCAGUUGGAAACGACUGAUAAUACCGCAUAAGCGCACAGCUUCGCAUGAAGCAGUGUGAAAAACUCCGGUGGUAUAGGAUGGUCCCGCGUCUGAUUAGCUAGUUGGUGAGGUAACGGCCCACCAAGGCGACGAUCAGUAGCCGGCCUGAGAGGGUGUACGGCCACAUUGGGACUGAGACACGGCCCAAACUCC